AGCUGUUCAAUUGCUGUUUGCUUAUAUUGUAGUUAUUGUUUCUACCAAUACCCGCACUUGAAAUCUAAUUAAAAGUUAAACUAAAAUGCGACAGAAAGCAAACAGUAGCGUUGCCGGACCACCGGAAAGCCUACAUACCAUUUUUUUAUGGUGUAUAUAGCUCUUAUAUUUAUGGAGGUAUUCCUCAAUAGCCAAGUCUUAAAAUCGGUAUAACAAGCGCUAACUAGAAUAGUUUGCAUUUUGAGUCCAUUGGCGACUGUGACUGGAAUUAUUUUCGGCAAUAUGCUUUAUUUAAUCUGUUUAUUUCUGUAGAUCAUUUUUCGGAUGGAGUCUUCUCAGUUUUAUUGCAUUUAGAGCUUUCCAAAGCUUUGAAAAAUAAUAUACAGAUAUACUAACAUA